GACAGGAGGGUGCAAACGUUUGUUCGGAAUUACUGGGCGUAAAGCGCGUGUAGGCGGUUUCUUAAGUCUGAUGUGAAAGCCCUGGGCUCAACCCAGGAAGUGCAUUGGAUACUGGGAGACUUGAAUACGGGAGAGGGUAGUGGAAUUCCUAGUGUAGGAGUGAAAUCCGUGAGAUAUUAGGAGGAACACCGGUGGCGAAGGCGGCUAACCUGGACCGAUAUUGACGCUGAGACGCGAAAGCGUGGGGAGCAA
rnacentral:rRNA from 1 species